rnacentral:rRNA from 1 species
CAGCACGUANNGNUGGGAACUCCAGGGAGNCUGCCGGUGAUAANCCGGAGGAAGGUGGGGNNGACGUCAAGUCAUCAUGGCCCUUACGAGUAGGGCUACACACGUGCUACAAUGGCGCAUACAGAGGGCGGCCAACCAGCGAUGGUGAGCGAAUCCCAAAAAGUGCGUCGUAGUCCGGAUUGGAGUCUGCAACUCGACUCCAUGAAGUCGGAAUCGCUAGUAAUCGUGAAUCAGAAUGUCACGGUGAAUACGUUCCCGGGCCUUGUACACACCNNNCGNCNCACCAUGGGAGUGGGCUGCAAAAGAAGUGGGUAGUUAACNUCGGANGACG